rnacentral:rRNA from 1 species
GACGAACGCUGGCGGCGUGCUUAACACAUGCAAGUCGAACGGAAAGGCCCUGCUUUUGUGGGGUGCUCGAGUGGCGAACGGGUGAGCAACACGUGAGUAACCUGCCCUUGACUUUGGGAUAACUUCAGGAAACUGGGGCUAAUACCGGAUAGGAGCUCCUGCUGCAUGGUGGGGGUUGGAAAGUUUCGGCGGUUGGGGAUGGACUCGCGGCUUAUCAGCUUGUUGGUGGGGUAGUGGCUUACCAAGGCUUUGACGGGUAGCCGGCCUGAGAGGGUGACCGGCCACAUUGGGACUGAGAUACGGCCCAGACGCCUACGGGAGGCAGCAGUGGGGAAUAUUGCACAAUGGGCGGAAGCCUGAUGCAGCAACGCCGCGUGCGGGAUGACGGCCUUCGGGUUGUAAACCGCUUUCGACUGUGACGAAGCGUGAGUGACGGUAAUGGGUAAAGAAGCAACGGCUAACUACGUG